GAUGAACGCUGGCGGCGUGCCUAAUACAUGCAAGUCGAGCGAACAGACGAGGAGCUUGCUCCUCUGACGUUAGCGGCGGACGGGUGAGUAACACGUGGAUAACCUACCUAUAAGACUGGGAUAACUUCGGGAAACCGGAGCUAAUACCGGAUAAUAUAUUGAACCGCAUGGUUCAAUAGUGAAAGACGGUUUUGCUGUCACUUAUAGAUGGAUCCGCGCUGCAUUAGCUAGUUGGUAAGGUAACGGCUUACCAAGGCGACGAUGCGUAGCCGACCUGAGAGGGUGAACGGCCACACUGGAACUGAGACACGGUCCAGACUCCUACGGGAGGCAACAGUAGGGAAUCUUCCGCAAUGGGCGGAAGCCUGACGGAACAACGCCGCGUGAGUGAUGAAGGUCUUCGGAUCGUAAAACUCUGUUAUUUGGGAAGAACAAAUGUGUAAGUAACUAUGCACGUCUUGACGGUACCUAAUCAGAAAGCCACGGCUAACUACGUG
rnacentral:rRNA from 1 species